GACUCAUGGCACUCAGUUGACGGUCGCCACCACCACGCCCACCUGUGCCUCUCUCUUUUUCUCUGUGCCGGCUGUGCCCCGCUCGCUUUACAGGGCGGUGCAGCGCUACCCGGAGGACAUAACGGUAACAACAAGCGGGCUUGACGGAGGGGGAUUCGCUGUGGGCGGAAAGCGGCAGCGCUUGCCUGCACAAACACACCGAAGGCAUGCGCCGCUGCCUCUGCCUAACAGGCGCACCACUCCGCGCCCUAGACGUUGCCGCGGUGUUGUUGUGCAGUCUCUCCAUCCCACAUUGCACAGCAUCUACCGCACCAACAGCCCAGCCACAGCCGCAGCCGCAGCGAGAAGCCGCGUGGAGGCAUUUCAUCGCUGCUUGUCGGCAACUAAACAAAUCUUUUUAUGAACGGGGAUCAUCGGCCCAGCAUGACGCUAGACCCACCAUGAGCACAGCAACUGCAGGGCGAGCCUUCGCGUGUAGCGCGGCUCAGAUUGAUUUCGACGGCGACGAGGCACUGGCUUUGAUGGCGCCGCCAAUUGCGCGUCAGGCGUCUGCCGCCGCCUCCAGCGAAGCCCUCAUGCGCGAGCUUGGCGUUUUCGAGCGGGCAGAGUACCAAACCGCUGCCAAAACCACAGACAUCAAGGAAAGCCCGGGCGCCUCCACCGAUAGCGACGAUGCAGCGGUGGAUUUCAUAUCGUGGAUGGCGACUUCGUCGUGGGUGCUGCGCGUGUGCCAGACGGGUAUCCGGGCGCAGGUGCCCAGCUUUGUGAUUGUGCGGCACCUCUGGAGGCCGUUUAGCGCUGCGCAAGCGGUGACACGCACACGAUCGGGCGCUUUAGAGGACGAGUCGGCUGACGAACCCUUGCGUGCACCAACAAUGGAGUGGGCAGCGUCACUGCCCGCGUCGGUCCGUGAGCUUCUACUUUCCCACGAGCUGCAGCGGGUGCACCGUCGCCGCCGCUACAUUAAUCGCGGCGUUUGCGGAGACGUUGCCGUCUUCACGGAAGAGAUCUCGCAUGACACUGACAGGACACCUGUGUAUGCUCUGAGCGAGAUGUGGACGCAGACGGUGCAGGAAUCCCGCGCGGUGGUGUUGUGCUGCUGUGCUCCGUGGCUGCUACACUACUCCAUGCAAGCAAGCUCCGUCAUGGAAAGCAGCGAGGGAGAGUCGUCACUUUCGCAUGUCUUGUUCUCGCCGCUGGAGCGGCGGGUACUGGAGGCGGGCAUGCGGCUGUGUGCGGUCUGCCAGGCGGAGGACGUGGCGCGGGCGCUGAUGGCCGUUUUCAUCCGCGGCGUGGACAGCGCCACCAGCGGUGCCUCUGGCCAGAGUAGGACCAUCGAUGCACUGACAGAGGAGGGGGCGUUCACGGCAUGGUAUGCUACCGAGGCUGGUACGCUGUACGAGAGCGCGAUGAUCGCUGCCGCCGCAGCGCGCACUCAUGCAGGUCUCUUGGCGUCUUGUACCUACUUUCCAACUAGUGGCGGUUUUGCGUUGGCGUACUCGUAUCUUAUUCAUCGAGGUCUCGCCAUGGCGAGACUCGCCGCAGCGAGCGGCGAGGACAGGGACAACGAAGAGGUGCCUGCUUCGCCGCCAUCUGCCAGAGCCAGUCACAGCUGGCUGUCGUCCUUCAUGCAGCAACCGAGAUGCGCAAUGCGCCUGGUGUGCGCGCUCGCCGGCGCCGUUGACGCCAACGCCGACCAUUUUGAUGUUGUCUUGCAGCUGUACCUGCGCCUGGUGGAGGAGGCAGGCGCGGGGUAUAACGCGGACAGCGUGGACGACACCCGUGUGGCCCUCUGCGCCGUCCUCAACGCACUUUCCCGUGUUCCACUCAAGACACAAACGUAUCUGGACUUCCUCGAGGAUGUUCACCGCCGCACUCUCGUUCACUCCACCAUCGACGUCACAGAGCAUCCGGACGUGCUCGCGAGCUGCCUGCGCGUGUGCAGCGCCGCGAGGGUGCCGAACCGCGCUGUGACGCUCUUCAACAAGCUAUGCGAGCCUUCGUCACGUGCAAUUGCUGCAGAGGAGCGCAACGUGGCGGCGGUGCUGCUCAGCACGCCUACUGCGGCGCUGGCCCUGCAGCGGCUCGUGAGCUACAUGCACACGAAGCUCCCCGUCACGGCAGACACGGUGCACGCUGCUGCCGCGCAUGCUUUGGUUGCGAGCACGGAGCUGGUGUGCUCCGCCUCAUCGACUGUGUUUGCUUUCUUUGAUCUUCUCGAGCUAAAGGUGGCCGCUCAACACCACGUCACAGGCCGCACCGCUGCCUACUAUGCCAACCGUACGCUUUUCCUGCGCCUCUUGACACUGCUUGCAGGGGUGCACGAGCAGCGCUGUGGCGGUGGUGCUGUGCGCGAGGCGCUAGCCACACCAGCCGCAGCGGCGGUGUUUCGACAGUGGGUGGCGUCGGCGGUAGAGCAUCAGCCGCGCGCCACUUCUUGGGCCAGCGCUCUGCCUCCCGUUAUGGUCGGUGUUCUUCAAGAGCUUGCUCUUGAACUUCACAGAGCAGCUAGAGCCGACUCGCAGGUGGGCAGCGACUCCUUCCCUGCCGUGCCUGCGAGCUCCCUUCUAGCGGCCGUGGAAGAGGUGCUGCAGGCUGCUGCGGGGGACCUUCCAACGUCGGUUCGCCCCAUCGGCUCUGUCGAUGACGAUGCUUCAAAGAACUGCUGCACGCUCUACUGCCUACCUGAAUCUCUGCAGUGGCGGCAGGUGCAGGCCGACUGGCAGCUGGAGGAGCAGAAGCGGUUUCUGGAGGGCGUGUCUUCGCUGCUUCAGGCUCCCAACGCAAAUGCCACGGCGGCGACGCCAUGUCUCCGUUACCAAGACUGGGCGAUGCUACGCGACCUGCAGUUGAGGUGCGCGAGGAUGACUUCUCAAGAACACCUGGCCGAUGCGUGGGCCAAUGCCAGGCCGAUGCGUGGGCCAAAGCAGCUGCAGCCCUCGGCCUCGACGUCAGCGUCGACAUGCACUCCCGGAGGAGUCGCCGCUGACCGUGCCGCGCUCUGUGUGCUGACACCCUUGGCGGAGGUGGAGUGGUGGCUCAUGCAAGAUUCCGCCUCCCCAUCAUGCGCCCUGCGCAUGAAGACGGCGUCCUUGUCGGAGACCCUCGGGGUGGCGGUGCCUCCUGCUGUCGGCUGCCCGGCACACACGUGGGCCAACGAGCAGGCAGCAGCACAUGGCGGUGCACGGCAAAGACGCACGAGAGUCGUGAAGUACUGGCUGCAGCGCUGGGUCGACUCCGUUGAAGACAACCGUGCCUUGCCUUUGCACUCCGUCUUCCGAGUGAGUGUGGUACGGGUACUUCAACAGUCCGUCUCUGCCGCCUUCGUCGCAGAGGAGAAGGCAGACGCCGCGGAGCAGGACGCGGAGCUCGACACGCCCUCGGCGUCAUCUGGUGAGCCGAGGAACGCCUCCUCGCCUGAUGUGUUUUCCGGGAAAGCCAAGCGAUCUGGUGUGGAGACGAUGCUCGUCCGGGGCCCCUCCUCCGUCGUCUACAACACGUAGAAGGGGUCGCCAGAGAGACGUCCCGCAGUCUCUCCCUCCUUCUCCGCCCGCCCAAGAGCGUGCGGUGUGCAUUCGUGGCAGCGACACCGGUGUUGGCAGAGUGCCGCUUGUCUGCCACACACACACACACACACACACACACGUGUGCACCUUCAUGGAGCCUGAAGGCGGCGCCGCGCUUCCGUGAAGAAGCGAAGACACGUUGCCAACAUUGUGGCUCCCCUUCUUUGCGGACUCUAACGGCAUCCGUUGCCUCUCUCGCCUGUGCUGUGGGCGUGCGUAAGCUAACCACGUCU
rnacentral:misc_RNA from 1 species